GAACUGUGCUGGUGGCAUGUUCUGCUCUACUAAAACGACACUUCACUACCGACGUCUGACUGAGGAGGUCACUCGUUCCGUCUGCUUCAGAAUUCAGCCGUUGCUUAUCUGAGAAACACUUCAGCGGGAGGCGUAGCUCACUUGUCUCUGUCGCGUGAGACAGUUGAACGUCACAAUGGCGCAGUUAUUCGUAUGAACUGUCCUUGGAAUCUGUUUGUCAGUGGUUAAUACAUCGCUGCUAGUUUUAUAUCAUAUGUGACGUGAAAAAAUAUUCAAGAACCUCGUGUUAAACAGUGAUUUAUGUAAGACAGUGGACAGAUUAUCUUUCGAAGAGCUUACUAAACUACAAAAGACUGUUCAAUGCAAAUAGACGUCACUGGAUUCAACAAAUACGUCCACAGAAGUACAACGUAACAUGUAAAGAACAGAUUACUCAUUAAUUUGGCUUCGGACUGACAAUUAACCUAGAAAAAAUGUUACGUUUGUCUCUUACAGUGACAAACCGACGAAGUUGUAUUCUUUUGGUGCUGUUAAUAACGUUAACACGAGGCUAUGACGUCACUGCAGCCUGUUGGGACUCGAAAGACGCCGUAUCCAUGGCAACACGCCACGCUACUGCGAUUUUUACAGGAAAAGUGAAUUCUCUGACGCAUUCUGACAAUGGCGAAGUCACAGCAGUUAUUACGGUGAAAAGGGUUUUUAAAAAAAUUAACAACGUCGGUGUGUUUGAAAAUUUAAACGCCGGAGAGAGCGUUAGAGUAAGAAUAAUAAGAAGUAGGACGUCGAUUUUAAACGUAAAAAAAUAUCACCACGUGGGUAAAUUCACAGAAGCGGCAGUGGAUUUACGGCCGAUUUUGGACGAUCUGAACUGUUCGUCGAGUGUGACGGGCGAUUAUUCUGUCUUUCCAGGAGUGAAUUUUGUGAAAAAGUUACGAGUGAAAGACACUAAAAUAUUUCUGGCGAGGAAAUUAGAGUUUCGACGCGAGGGGCUGCUGACAUCUGUCAGAGAAGACCCGUACAUGGAGCUGGACUGGCCACCCCUGCCCCUGAAACUGGACAUUCUGGACAGGAUAUCUGCCGCAGUUAAAGGAGCGGUCGUUUCAAGACGGGACAUGCACUUAACUGGGUAGACUUGAUGGGCAGCGCAUUUAGAACGUCUGUCAAAUCGAUUGAGUACGUCGCUGUGAAGUUAUCAACUGGCUGAGAGCAGAUUAUUUUGAAAUGACAUUGAUGGACAUUGUGGGUCAUCUGUAGCGUGAAAUACCUUGAUGAAUCGAACAUGUAUCAUGUGCCAAAAACAAGAAACGAGACGUAAACCAGAGCAGUUAUUACCAAACGCAACAGAGAGACGUGUGUUUUGAUUUAUAAAUGGUGUUAAGUUUCACAAACUGGCACUCGCCUGCUAAAUGAGCUGGUUUCUUACUCUCGGAGGUUAAAUGAAGACACGCCCUUCAUGAGGUCGACUCCCAGAUUGUACGGCGUCAUGACCCACAGGGCCACGACAUAGAAGAACGUCUUUGGUGAUUAUGACGAUGGCAUGAAAGGCGUUGGUAACCAGGAGACAAGGCAACACGCGAAACAGGACUGGAAAAGUGUGUUUUUUAUAGCGCGCUGAAAUUAGAAAGGCGUUCUUUACGCGACAUCGCGCCUGGGUCGUUAAUGCAGUGACGUGAUAGGAGUAUUUUUUUUGGGGGACUUGGGAAAUUAUUGCACUAAUGUAAUCCCAGAUCACACAGCGUGAGUUCUCGUUCAGAAAGAGGACUUUCGGCCAUGCACGUUGAGUAUCCCGUGAAAACAAUGACCCCCGGUCAUGCAGGCUGAGUAUCCCCGUGAAACCCCGGCUAUACACGUUGAGUACCCCUGCAGGAAUCAUGAUGAUCCCUCUUUCAUACACGUUGAAUACCCCAGCAUGGAAACUGACACCCCCCUCCCCCGGUCAUUUAGAUUGAG